rnacentral:rRNA from 1 species
AGUCAAGUAAUUAAGUGCAUGUGGUGGAUGCCUUGGCAGUCAGAGGCGAUGAAAGACGUGAUAGCCUGCGAAAAGCUCCGGGGAGGCGGCAAAUAUCCUUUGAUCCGGAGAUGUCUGAAUGGGGGAACCCACCUACUUUAAGGUAGGUAUUGCAACAUGAAUACAUAGUGUUGCAAGGCGAACGAGGGGAAGUGAAACAUCUCAGUACCCUUAGGAAAAGAAAUCAAUUGAGAUUCCCUCAGUAGCGGCGAGCGAACGGGGAUCAGCCCAUUAAGUUAUGUGUGUUUUAGUGGAACGCUCUGGGAAGUGCGAACGUAGAGGGUGAUAUUCCCGUACACGAAAGGGCACACAUAAUGAUGACGAGUAGGGCGAGGCACGUGAAACCUUGUCUGAAUAUGGGGGGACCAUCCUCCAAGGCUAAAUACUCCUGACUGACCGAUAGUGAACCAGUACCGUGAGGGAAAGGCGAAAAGAACCCCUGUGAGGGGAGUGAAAUAGAUCCUGAAACCGCAUGCAUACAAGCAGUGGGAGCACCUUCGUGGUGUGACUGCGUACCUUUUGUAUAAUGGGUCAGCGACUUAUAUUCAGUAGCGAGGUUAACCGUAUAGGGGAGCCGUAGAGAAAUCGAGUCUUAAUAGGGCGUUUAGUUGCUGGGUAUAGACCCGAAACCAGGCGAUCUAUCCAUGAGCAGGUUGAAGGUUGGGUAACACUAACUGGAGGACCGAACCCACUGUCGUUGAAAAGCCAGGGGAUGACUUGUGGAUAGGGGUGAAAGGCUAAUCAAGCCUGGUGAUAGCUGGUUCUCCCCGAAAGCUAUUUAGGUAGCGCCUCGGACGAAUACCAUAGGGGGUAGAGCACUGUUUCGGCUAGGGGGUCAUCCCGACUUACCAAACCGAUGCAAACUCCGAAUACCUAUGAGUACUAUCCGGGAGACAGACUGCGGGUGCUAACGUCCGUAGUCAAGAGGAAAACAAUCCAGACCGCCAGCUAAGGCCCCAAAAUCAUAGUUAAGUGGGAAACGAUGUGGGAAGGCAUAGACAGCUAGGAGGUUGGCUUAGAAGCAGCCACCCUUUAAAGAAAGCGUAAUAGCUCACUAGUCGAGUCGGCCUGCGCGGAAGAUGUAACGGGGCUAAAACUAUGUGCCGAAGCUGCGGAUUUNNNNNNNNNNNNNNNNNNNNNNNNNNNNNNNNNNNNNNNNNNNNNNNNNNNNNNNNNNNNNNNNNNNNNNNNNNNNNNNNNNNNNNNNNNNNNNNAGUAUGCUGGAGGUAUCAGAAGUGCGAAUGCUGACGUGAGUAACGACAAAACGGGUGAAAAACCCGUUCGCCGAAAGACCAAGGGUUCCAGUCCAACGUUAAUCGGGGCUGGGUGAGUCGACCCCUAAGGCGAGGCCGAAAGGCGUAGUCGAUGGGAAAAUGGUUAAUAUUCCAUUACUUCUGUGUAAUGCGAUGAGAGGACGGAGAAGGCUAAAUCAGCCUGGCGUUGGUUGUCCAGGUGAAAGGAUGUAGGCAUGUAUCUUAGGCAAAUCCGGGGUACUCUAUGCUGAGAUCUGAUAGCAAGCUGUACUUGUACAGCGAAGUGGUUGAUGCCAUGCUUCCAGGAAAAGUCUCUAAGCUUCAGUUACACAGGAAUCGUACCCGAAACCGACACAGGUGGUCAGGUCGAGUAGACCAAGGCGCUUGAGAGAACUCUGCUGAAGGAACUAGGCAAAAUGGUACCGUAACUUCGGGAGAAGGUACGCUGUUGUUGGUGAUGGAACUCGCUUCCUGAGCUGACGACAGCCGCAGAAACCAGGCCGCUGCAACUGUUUAUUAAAAACAUAGCACUCUGCAAACACGAAAGUGGACGUAUAGGGUGUGAUGCCUGCCCGGUGCUGGAAGGUUAAUUGAUGGGGUUAGCGUAAGCGAAGCUCUUGAUCGAAGCCCCAGUAAACGGCGGCCGUAACUAUAACGGUCCUAAGGUAGCGAAAUUCCUUGUCGGGUAAGUUCCGACCUGCACGAAUGGCAUAAUGAUGGCGGCGCUGUCUCCAGCAGAGGCUCAGUGAAAUCGAAAUCGCUGUGAAGAUGCAGUGUACCCGCGGCUAGACGGAAAGACCCCGUGAACCUUUACUGCAGCUUGACACUGAACUUUGACCUUACUUGUGUAGGAUAGGUGGGAGGCUUUGAAGCUGGAACGCUAGUUCCAGUGGAGCCGUCCUUGAAAUACCACCCUGGUAAUGUUGAGGUUCUAACUCUGUCCCGUGAUCCGGGACGAGGACCGUGUCUGGUGGGUAGUUUGACUGGGGCGGUCUCCUCCUAAAGAGUAACGGAGGAGUACGAAGGUGCGCUCAGCGUGGUCGGAAAUCACGCGUAGAGUAUAAAGGCAAAAGCGCGCUUAACUGCGAGACCCACAAGUCGAGCAGGUACGAAAGUAGGUCUUAGUGAUCCGGUGGUUCUGUAUGGAAGGGCCAUCGCUCAACGGAUAAAAGGUACUCUGGGGAUAACAGGCUGAUACCGCCCAAGAGUUCAUAUCGACGGCGGUGUUUGGCACCUCGAUGUCGGCUCAUCUCAUCCUGGGGCUGAAGCAGGUCCCAAGGGUAUGGCUGUUCGCCAUUUAAAGAGGUACGCGAGCUGGGUUUAGAACGUCGUGAGACAGUUCGGUCCCUAUCUACCGUGGGCGCUGGAAAUUUGAGAGGAUCUGCUCCUAGUACGAGAGGACCAGAGUGGACGAACCUCUGGUGUACCGGUUGUGACGCCAGUCGCAUCGCCGGGUAGCUAUGUUCGGAAGGGAUAACCGCUGAAAGCAUCUAAGCGGGAAGCCUACCUCAAGAUAAGAUUUCCCUAGGACUUUAUGUCCUCUAAAGAGCCGUUCGAGACUAGGACGUUGAUAGGUUGGAUGUGGAAGCAUAGUGAUAUGUGAAGCUGACCAAUACUAAUUGCUCGUGAGGCUUGACUAU